UUUGAGGUCCACUGAGAGAAGACAGACUUUUAGGGUUCUAGGUAUUCUAUAAGAAUUUUUUUAGUUUUAUUAAUAUAAUAAAGUAAUAUUUCAGCAUAUUUUUUUUUUUUUUUUUUUGAGACAGAGUCUCACUCUGUCACCAGGCUGGAGUGCGGUGGUGCGAUCUUGGCUCACUGCAACCUCCACCUCCCAGGUUCAAGUGAUUCUUCUGCCUCAGCCUCCCGAGUAGCCAGGACUACAGGUGCAAGCCACCACGCCCAGCUAAUUUUUGUAUUUUUAGUAGAGAUGGGGUUUCUCCAUAUUGGCCAGGAUGAUCUCGAUCUCCUGACCUCGUGAUCCACCCACCUUGACCUCCCAAAGUGCUGAGAUUACAGGCAUGAGCCACCGUGCCCAGCUGAAACUGAGUUUCAUAGAAUGAAAGUUUGCUUUGUAAGUCAAUGUUUACUCAUCUAUUGUGUGAAAAACUGUAUUCUCUGCAGUUUGAAAACAUUUUUUUUUCUUUACAAGAGCCCAUAUUUUACUCGGUUGUGAGAACCACCAAAUCAGAGAAAUGGAUAAGUAGCAAAGUAUUAAACAAUAUGAAUGAUUAAAGUAGAAUAUAUUAGCAUAUACAGAGAGUGACAAACUUUUUCUAUAAAGGGCCUGAUUAUAAAUAUUUUAGGCUUUGUAAUUCAAGAUUCAAAAUGAAGGAUAUUGUGUAGGUAUUAUAUGACAGGAAAGAAUCACAUCUUAAGAUUUUUUUUUCAAUCACUUAGAUGCAUAAAUACCAUUCUUCAUUGAGAAGACAUACAAAAUAGGCAGUGGGGCUGGAUUUGGCCAAUAGAUUUUAGUUUACUGACCAUGGUGUACCCAAAAUGAUUUCAACUGAUACGAAUUUUAGAAUUUAUUACUAAAAUUUCCUUUCUUAUGCCUUCCUUAAAUAUGUUCCUGUUUGCCUAGAACAGUGCUGGUUUAUGGCUUUUCCAACACAUUCAUUAUUAUUCAUGCUUAAAAGUUAAAUUAUGAGGUCACCCUAGUUAUCAGAGUCUUUCCUUCUCGUUGACCAGCUUCCCAUUGACUAGUUAUGUAAAAAAUCUCACCCCUAGAUCACAAAAGUUUGACUCUGUAAGAGAAGCAGGUCAUUGUGCACAAUGUCCUCAGGCCACUGGAAAAAAAGCUCAUAUCCUGAUGCGGUAAUCUUCCUCCACUUAAAAAGUUAAAAAAAUAAAAAAGAGUGUCUUAUUCUAGAAGUGCCCACUUGGGAUUAGAGGUGGGAGAUUUGCUAUUUUCUAUUGGAUCAAAAACUUUAACAUACUUGUAUUUAAAUGUUAUGGAUAAGUUCUCAUUAUAUUGUGUUAAAUAAAAAAAUGGUACGAAGUUUCAUAUCUAGAGCA
rnacentral:lncRNA from 1 species